UACAGAGGUCUCAAGCGUUGUUCGGAUUAAUUGGGCGUAAAGGGUGCGUAGGCGGCGCGGUAAGUCGGGUGUGAAAUCUCGGGGCUUAACUCCGAAACUGCAUUCGAUACUGCCGUGCUUGAGGACUGGAGAGGAGACUGGAAUUUACGGUGUAGCGGUGAAAUGCGUAGAUAUCGUAAGGAAGACCAGUGGCGAAGGCGGGUCUCUGGACAGUUCCUGACGCUGAGGCACGAAGGUCAGGGAGCAAACGGG
rnacentral:rRNA from 1 species